CUUGUGUCUAACUCUGUAAUCAGCAUAUAUUUGCGAUAGUUUCUCUGGUGUACCUAGGUUGUUCUUGUGUCCCUUUAGCUGGUUUGACUUAUAUCUUCAUUGCGUAUAAUAUUCUGCUUCCUUUGGUGUUCUCUAGAAUUGAUUAUUUUCACUCAAUUUAGGUUAGCAGUCCUCUAAUUUUGUAUGUAUUUUAGAGGAUAUAUGUAGAGUUCAGAUUGAACUUGAAGCCUUUAGAAUCGCGUUGGAGUUGCAAAACUGAUGGGAUGCUGCUCUGGUAAGCUAACACACCUUUAUAUCAUAACUAUCGCCUUGAGGCAGGGAUGUAGUGAAACUGCUGUUACUCGUGAGUUGGGUUGCACUGCUUUACAUUUUUUUGUCAAUUUUUUUUUGCGACAGCUGGGAAAUUGCCUUACGUUUCAGAAUCUUCAGUGUACUCUUGAUUCCUUUCAGAAAACGAUACACAUGAAGAUAUGGGAACCUCAUUCUAGAAAUUUAUUUCAACAAAAUUCCAUCUGCAAAAGAUGCAUACCUCCUGUUGCUCUGUUUUUCCCUCAUCAUUUAUUUGUUUUUCGUUUAAUCCCUCAUCCAUUUUCUGGAACCAUAACACAGACGAAAAUGCAAAUGUCAUGACAACUCUAGGAAACCAACAGAUAUGAUGAAAGAAAUUAAAUCUCUCCCGAGAGAAAACCAGCAGCUCCUCUGGCAAUUGCUUAGAAUUUUCUUCUCAAGGGACAUGGUGCUCAAGCAAAGUUUGUGUAAUGGAACAAUGUCACAGAAAACCCUUUGAGAUGGAGCAAAAUGAUCUUGCUUCGAAAAUUUGAUUGGAAGCCCAGCUUAUCUUCUUAGCAGAUUUGGUUGGGGUCAGUGACGGAGAUGAUAAUAAGAUUCCGGUGGCCGGAACUGACAGUGGAGACUACAUUGAGAUUUCUUGGUUCAAGCAGCACUCUGCACCAACUGCUGGUAUCAGUUUCUCACCAUCUAAUUACAAGGGGGCAUAAGUAAUAUUGACUUAUACAUUUUCAUUCCUUAUGUUAUAAGACUAGGAGGCUAUUUUAUCAUGCUGUGGUGUAGUGAAUCUUUCAUGGUCGGAAAUGCUUUCUGAUUUCAAAAUACUUUCCCUUGACAGAUGUUUGUUAGUGUGGAGCUUGAUAAAAAAUUGUCUAGUCAAAAUGCCUGGUAAGGUAUUAGUUAUGCAUUCUGAUAUUCAAAAUACAUUUUUUCUUGACAGAUGAUUGUAUGGUCAAAAUGCCUGAUACGUUUCAGAUUUUUCAAUUUACUUUAGAAGAGACUCUUGAUUCCUUUCAGAUAUCGGUACACGAGAUAUGAGGAACCUUCAUAUAGAAAUUUUGUUGUUGGCACAGACUAUAGUUAUUCUAUCUUUGAACAUAGUCUGCAUAAAUAACAAUAUUUUUUUGUUCAGCCAAAGAUCUGAAUUUUUAUAUUGUCAGAAUGUUUCAUAAAUUUGUGGUACUAAUCAAUUGCAGUAGUCAUCAGGAUGUUACAGGUCUCUGCUGGCAAAGGUCAAAAUCAAUUGUUUACUAGCUUGGUGUCUAAGUCAGAUACAUCAACUGCCACAGAAUCAGGGUUCUUCCAGCAAUGAACGGAGGAACCUCAGAACUGCGGAAGGCCCCUGAACAAGAUGUGAGCAGGGAAUUCCUUUACGUUUCAAAUUUUCAAUUUACUUUAGAAGAGACUCUUGAUUCCUUUCAGAAAUCGGUAUGCGAAGACAUGAGGAACCUUCAUAUAGAAAUUUUAAGACAAUUCAACAUGCAAGCGAUGGAAAUGUCAACUGUGACGAGUAAAAUUCUAGCAAACCAAGCUGAGGUCUGGAAGAAGUUAAUCUCUCUGGAAAGAAAACCAGCAGCUUCUGCAAUUUUUUUAGCACUGGUGAAGAUUGUAUUUAGUGUUAAUGAUUUGUUGUGCGGAUUGGAAUAUGUCUGCUGUUUGUGUUGUACAAUUUGCCUUUCAUUUAUGGGCUUUUGUUCUCUAGGUACAUUUGAAUUGCUGAAAUGAUGUUGUUUGGGAUUCGGUUGUUUCUUUCCUAGUUUUAGGUUUUCGUAUUCUGGGGAUUUUAUCAAGUAAUGACAUGUUUGACAAGUUGUACAUCACAGUGGAACAUCAUGUGGCUUUAAUGUUCACUACCAAACAUGCCAUUGCUGAACUCGUUUUUCGCCUGAACGACCCCCUCCUCCUUUUUCUUCCUCGUUUUGUCAAUUAUACUUUCUCAGGUAUGUCUUCCUUAAUUAAACAAUCUAUAUGUUCAGAAACAAUUCUAAUUAUUGAACUUGAAUGGUAUAUGGUUUUAUAUAGAUAGGUUAGGAUUGUGUAGAAACUUUCAUUAUGUUCAAAUCUGGAAAAUCAGAAUAGUUAGCAUGUCAAAUCCACUUCAGCAGAUGGGGAAGGCCCCUAUGCUUGAAUCUGAACUGUGUUCUACCUCCCACCCAGAAAUCCUGAGAGAAUGAACAACAAAUCUGAUUUUAGUGUCAGUACGUCCCUAGGUUGCUUCCAUGUGCUUGUUGCUAACUAGAUUCUAGCAGUAUGUCAAGUAAACAAGUUACCUCCAAUUCCAUGUACGCUCUUAACAGAAUUCCGAUUCACAUCCUCUCUGUGUUCAGAUGAUGAGCAUCACAUUUUUUGUAAAUAUAAAAAAAGAAGAAGCUAGCGCAUAUACCUCAGUCAGACUAAGUAAAGCGUGGCAGAUUGCUUUAUUUUUUUUUGUUAUUUGGGUGCACCUAGGGUAGAGCUCAGUCAAGCAGCUAAGGCCACACCAAUCACACGUACACUUGCUUAGUUGCUGCUUGUAGAUAAGAAAGCCUUCAUUUACUUUUAUUUCCUUUGUCAAGUAGGAGAUUCUCUUCUGCAGGGGAUUGAGCAAAUGAUCAUUCAUCCAAUAUCUGGUUGAAAUUUCACCUCAACUUCUAAACAGAAGAAUGCAGAGCUCGUAUUGAAGGUUGAAGCACUUUGAAUCGCCUUGUAGUUGCAAAUCUGAUGGAAUGCUACUCUGGUAAAAUAUCAUAACUGGUGCCUUGCAACAGAGUAGUGAAGCUUCUGUUACGUAUGCACCCAGGUGAGGCUGAUUGAGUCAAGUGGCUGGGGUACCAAUCAGACUGACGACUUUAUCACUCUUGUUUCCUUCGUUCACUUGGAGAUUCCCUUUUGGAGAGGAUGGGGAAAAUGAAUAUCCAAUAUAUGAUUGGAAUCCCAGCUGAGUCACUUCCCUAUGUCCCCUGGCAUCAAAGGAAUCAUGGGACAGAGCGACAACAUGUCAACAUCACAGUACUUUUAUAGGGGAGGACAAAAGGAGCCUCAGAAUUUCAAGAGACCCCUAAACAAGCUGCACAAAUGGGAAAUUGCUUUACAUUUCUACUUCUCUAGAUUCCCUGGGAAAUUGCUCUCUUUGUUCCCUCAUCGGUUUUUCUCUUUCGUCAAGUUCCUCAUCCAUUUCAUCUGCAAGGAGUAAGGAUUGCCUCUAACGACUAUGGAAAUUGAUCAGCUCACAACAAAGGAAAUUCAAUAAUGACAAAUUAGUUUCAUUGCUAAACUGUAUCAUCAUUCCACCCAAAAUAUAUUUAAUUAUGCAUCUCCAUAGACAUUAUACAUGGUUCUUGAGAUUAUUGGAUUAAUUAAUUUCAU